GGAGCCAGCCCCUCAGCUCCGCCCCUCACAGGGAAGGCCCUCAGGAGCUGAAGUUAGAACCCUAGAGCCCCAUUCCACACCCUUGCUUCGGGUCAGAGGCCACUGCAUCCUAAAUAGCACCAGGGGAUGAAGAUAGAGAACCUCACAGAGGCUGGAGAGUGUCCUCCUCCCCACCAAACUGCAGACCAUCCCAGUGCCUGAAUUCAAAUCCUUGCUUGCCAAGGAAUCACUGAAAGGGCCCCUCCACCUCUCUGAGCCCUGAGUUCCAUCAUUUGGAAAAACAGGGUGACAAUUGCUAUUUCCCAGGUGGCAAUGAGGUUGAAGUGAGAUCCUGCAGUCAAGAGUGCUCUUCCUGAAGCCUGGCUCCAAACACUGCUCCCUCAAGCAGGUUAGAUACUUCCUGGAGACCUCAGGCUCCCCUGCUGCAGAAUGGGCAUCCCCCAGGGGCCUCAGAUUUGGCCCCAGUAGCUUUGUGGAAUGGCAUCAAGUACAAGACAGUGCUGGGGAACUGUGGGUGCUCCUCUCCCAGUACCCACCUGGUUGAGAGCCUUUGUGGUGGGUGCCCACCACAUCUCUGGACCUAGAUACCUCCUGCCCUACUGGACCUGGCUCACUCCUGCUCAGAUUCUUCCCAUCACCCACCACAGACUUGACACCCAAAGACCCCUGGGAAUAGCACCUCCCACAACCUUGGCUCACCCGGGAGAUGGAGAGGGGCACAUUGAAGUCCUUGCCCCCCUGCAGCCGAAAGCCCCAAGGUGCAGGCCCCUCCAGCACCACCUUGAAGGAAUCCAUGGUGCCUGCUCCUGGGAGGAAAGAAAAGGUGAGUGGACAGCAUGGUGGGUGUACAGGCAGGCCCAGCUCUGGAUACCAACCUUGGACUGGUGCCAGGAAGGCACGAGCAGCCUCUGAACACACCCAGGGCACCAGCAGGCAUUCAUCUUGUCAGGUGUGGCUGGCAGACCUCACUUUGCAGAGGCAGGGGCAAUCCCCGCCCCCCCCCCCCCCCCAGGGACUGGAUGAUGAGGGGAUCCCUUCACUCAGUCUUGAGGUUCUUUUCAUUCAGGAGUGGGCCGCAGAGCUAAUUUGACAUGGACUUCCCCCCAAGCCAGCCUUAACCCUCGGACCGACGGGUGAGUCAGGGGCCGGCACUCCUCUCCCCCGCCCCCAGGUCCCGACAGGCAGGCCUCGCAGAAGCCUGCUCGGACUAUAUAAGGCGUGUAAGCUGACACUGUGCGGAGCCAGCGGAGGGAGCACACGGGGGCUCGGGACGCGAGGGGGAGGGGUGGGGAAGGAGGCUGCUGGAGCGGGUCCUGGCCAUUCCCAGACGGGUCGAGGCUGAUGAGGACUCCCAGGCGCUGGGGGCGGCACAGAGGGGCCGUGGCCCCUAUGGAAAUCAGAGAAGGCUAGGACCCCAAAGCGUGGCCAGGCCCAUCGUGAGGAUAGGCGUUGUUCCGCGGAAGGUGCAAGCCAUCAGCGGCUCCAGAAUUUCUAAACCGGAAGGACUUGCGGGUGUGGAGCACAUGGAGGAGCUUCCCAGCAGACGUCUAUCUGGAUUGCCUGGAUCCUGAGCCCAACAGAGAGCUGGGCACGGAGUGAGGUAAGUGAGCACUAGUGGCUUGAGCAGCAGUCCUGUGGCAUCUGCUUACCCCCUCGGUGAGGGGAACAGAGGGUUCCUACUGGGAGCCUGUGUGGGCCAGCAAGUGGGCAGGGGGCCUGAGGCAGGAAGUCGCCUCCCAAGGGGCCCCAAGAGCUUCAUUCAGCUGACAGGAAGAGGGAGGCUGGGGCAAGGCUGGAGAUUAUAAAGAGCCAACCAGAGACCAGAAAACCCAACCAUUUCCCCUUGGCCCACCAAUGCGGUCUCUCGAGUCAGCAAUCCAGCUAGCAGCAGAGGAGAUAGCCAUAGCCCCCAGAAGGGGACCCCAGCUACAUGGCUGCUUCCACAACUAAGACCCAGCAGGCUGAGUGUUGGCGGUAGCAGUAGGAGAUGCCAGUUCCCUGCCUCAGAGGGGCUAUGGAAGUCAGAGGGUGAGGCCUACCCAGGAAGCAGGGGUCAGGUAAGACGAAACACAGAGGCGGGGCUGGGCUG